AGAACGAACGCUGGCGGCAUGCCUAACACAUGCAAGUCGAACGCCUGUAGCAAUACAGGAGUGGCGCACGGGUGAGUAACGCGUGGGAACCUACCCUGGAGUGGGGGAUAACCGAGAGAAAUUUCGGCUAAUACCGCAUACGACCUGAGGGUGAAAGAUUUAUCGCUCUAGGAGGGGCCCGCGUCGGAUUAGCUAGUUGGUGGGGUAACGGCCCACCAAGGCGAUGAUCCGUAGCUGGUCUGAGAGGAUGAUCAGCCACACUGGGACUGAGACACGGCCCAGACUCCUACGGGAGGCAGCAGUGGGGAAUAUUGGACAAUGGGCGCAAGCCUGAUCCAGCCAUGCCGCGUGGGUGAUGAAGGCCCUAGGGUUGUAAAGCCCUUUCGGCGGGAAGAUAAUGACGGUACCGCAGAAGAAGCCCCGGCUAACUCGUGCCAGUAGCCGC
rnacentral:rRNA from 1 species